rnacentral:rRNA from 1 species
GACGAACGCUGGCGGCGUGCUUAACACAUGCAAGUCGAACGGAAAGGCCCUGCUUUUGUGGGGUGCUCGAGUGGCGAACGGGUGAGUAACACGUGAGUAACCUGCCCUUGACUUUGGGAUAACUUCAGGAAACUGGGGCUAAUACCGGAUAGGAGCUCCUGCUGCAUGGUGGGGGUUGGAAAGUUUCGGCGGUUGGGGAUGGACUCGCGGGUUAUCAGCUUGUUGGUGGGGUAGUGGCUUACCAAGGCUUUGAAGGGUAGGCGGCAUGCGAGGGUGACCGGCCACAUUGGGACUGAGGUACGGCCCAGACUCCUACGGGAGGCAGCAGUGGGGAAUAUUGCACAAUGGGCGGAAGCCUGAUGCAGCAACGCCGCGUGCGGGAUGACGGCCUUCGGGUUGUAAACCGCUUUCGCCUGUGACGAAGCGUGAGUGACGGUAAUGGGUAAAGAAGCACCGGCUAACUACGUG